UUUGAACCGCAUGGUUCAAAAGUGAAAGACGGUCUUGCUGUCACUUAUAGAUGGAUCCGCGCUGCAUUAGCUAGUUGGUAAGGUAACGGCUUACCAAGGCAACGAUGCAUAGCCGACCUGAGAGGGUGAUCGGCCACACUGGAACUGAGACACGGUCCAGACUCCUACGGGAGGCAGCAGUAGGGAAUCUUCCGCAAUGGGCGAAAGCCUGACGGAGCAACGCCGCGUGAGUGAUGAAGGUCUUCGGAUCGUAAAACUCUGUUAUUAGGGAAGAACAUAUGUGUAAGUAACUGUGCACAUCUUGACGGUACCUAAUCAGAAAGCCACGGCUAACUACGUGCCAGCAGCCGCGGUAAUACGUAGGUGGCAAGCGUUAUCCGGAAUUAUUGGGCGUAAAGCGCGCGUAGGCGGUUUUUUAAGUCUGAUGUGAAAGCCCA
rnacentral:rRNA from 1 species